CUGUCCCCUUUAUAGUGCACCACUUUUGACCAGGACCAAUAGGGAAUCCCAUAGGUAGUGCACUACUUUAGACCAGGGUCAAUAAGGAAUCCCAUAGGUAGUGCACUACUUUAGACCAGGGUCAAUAGGGAAUCCCAUAGGUAGUGCACUACUUUAGACCAGGGUCAAUAGGGAAUCCCAUAGGUAGUGCACUACUUAUGACCAGGACCAAUGGGGAAUCCCAUAGGUAGUGCACUACUUUAGACCAGGGCCAAUAGGGAAUCCCAUAGGUAGUGCACUACUUUAGACCAGGGUCAAUAGGGAAUCCCAUAGGUAGUGCACUACUUUAGACCAGGGCCAAUAGGGAAUCCCAUAGGUAGUGCACUACUUUAGACCAGGGCCCAUAGGGAAUCCCAUAGGUAGUGCACUACUUUAGACCAGGGCCAAUAGGGAAUCCCAUAGGUAGUGCACUACUUUAGACCAGGGCCAAUAGGGAAUCCCAUAGGUAGUGCACUACUUUAGACCAGGGUCAAUAGGGAAUCCCAUAGGUAGUGCACUACUUUAGACCAGGGCCAAUAGGGAAUCCCAUAGGUAGUGCACUACUUUAGACCAGGGCCCAUAGGGAAUCCCAUAGGUAGUGCACUAUAAAUGGAAUAGGGCGCUUUUUUUCAGAUGCAACCAAAGGGAGGAAACAC